rnacentral:lncRNA from 1 species
GAAAAUCUGGGCUGUUCUACAAGUGGAAAAUUCAGUACAAAAAUUUCCUCUAAUUUCUUUAGGCCUAAGGGUACUUUCAAGCAUUGGGAAGCCGAAAUUUGAAAAACGUGCAUCACUCCGAAGCAUUCUUUUAUGCUUUGGUUAGGGGCCAAAUCAAAGCUCCUAACUAAAGACAAAUUAUUCUUCUUGGAUAUUGAUCGCAAGUGUGAUUUUUGUGGCCAUUUUGUGGAAAAUUGCGAGCAUCUUUUCUUUAAGUGUUCCUUCACAUCUACCUUAUGGGGGAACAUUAGGCGAUGGCUCGGCAUUAUCAGAUCUAUGUCAACACUUUCUAGUGCUCUUAGGUGGUUGAAAAAAGAGGCCUGUGGUUUUUGGCUUAGUAAGGCGAAGAGGAUUGCUCUUGCAAGCACCGUGUACUACAUUUGGCUUACAAGGAAUAUGAAGAUAUUCGAAGACCUCUCACCCGACUUGGAUUUCAUUGUGGGACGGAUCAAGACACACGUAUACAAAGUUAUGUUUACCUUGUAUCCGGAUGUCUUGAUCCAUUUCGAAUCCUUGGCAUUGAGUCAUUGAUCUUUUUUGUAUUUCACUUACUUUUGUACUUCCCGGGGAUGCCUGGUGUAUUUGUUUGUGAUAUUUGCUUGUGAUUUUUCCGGGUAUG